GGAACAGCUCUUGUCACAGAUACGAAAAGGAUAAUAAUGGCGACGAGCGGCAGAGAUACCCGACGACGUCGUAUUGUUGAACGGGGAAAUGACCGAUUAGCUCUAAUUACCGGCCGGAUCCCAACUCUACCAUCGGAAACUGGAUCGGGAUCGGAAACUCGUCAUUUGCACACCGCCUCUUGCCCUACUUGGAUUUCUGAAAAUCAUCUUCCUUCUAACCAAUCCUCUCCUGUUUCUAUUAGUGGGAGCGAGGGCUCUAGACCAUUGUUGUUUGAUGGUGAUCAUGGAAUUCAGCCUGGUGAGCAUGAAGGAUCUGAUGGCAAAAGCAGAACAACUCCAUUUAUGCGAAAAUGUGAGUCAAACAUUGAAUCAACAAGUGAACCUGCCUUGUAUCUUGAUGACAAAGAUCAUUUAUAUGCGGAUUCAUCUACUGUAAAUCCUCCAAGCCUUUCUGCUUCUGAUGGGGGUCGAUUUUCAAAACUGAAGAGCAACUAU
rnacentral:misc_RNA from 1 species